rnacentral:rRNA from 1 species
GACGAACGCUGGCGGCGUGCUUAACACAUGCAAGUCGAACGGAAAGGCCCUGCUUUUGUGGGGUGCUCGAGUGGCGAAAGGGUGAGUAACACGUGAGUAACCUGCCCUUGACUUUGGGAUAACUUCAGGAAACUGGGGCUAAUACCGGAUAGGAGCUCCUGCUGCAUGGUGGGGGUUGGAAAGUUUCGGCGGUUGGGGAUGGACUCGCGGCUUAUCAGCUUGUUGGUGGGGUAGUGGCUUACCAAGGCUUUGACGGGUAGACGGCCCGAGAGGGUGACCGGCCACAUUGGGACUGAGAUACGGCCCAAAGUCCUACGGGAGGCAGCAGUGGGAAAUAUUGCACAAUGGGCGGAAGCCUGAUGCAGCAACGCCGCGUGCGGGAUGACGGCCUUCGGGUUGUAGACCGCUUUCGCCUGUGACGAAGCGUGAGUGACGGUAAUGGGUAAAGAAGCACCGGCUAACUACGUG